rnacentral:rRNA from 1 species
GACGAACGCUGGCGGCGUGCCUAAUACAUGCAAGUCGAACGGUCUUUUCUAUGGAAGCUUGCUUCCGCUGAGAAGAUAGUGGCGAACGGGUGAGUAACACGUGGGUAACCUGCCCAUAAGAGGGGGAUAACAUCCGGAAACGGGUGCUAAUACCGCAUAGUUUUCUUGAUCGCAUGAUUGAGAAAGGAAAGACGGCCUUUGUGCUGUCGCUUAUGGAUGGACCCGCGGCGUAUUAGUUAGUUGGUGAGGUAACGGCUCACCAAGACGAUGAUACGUAGCCGACCUGAGAGGGUGAGCGGCCACAUUGGGACUGAGACACGGACCAAACUCCUGCGGGAGGCAGCAGUAGGGAAUCUUCCGCAAUGGACGAAAGUCUGACGGAGCAACGCCGCGUGAGUGAAGAAGGUUUUCGGAUCGUAAAACUCUGUUGUCAGAGAAGAACAAGUCGGAGAGUAACUGCUCCGGCCUUGACGGUAUCUGACCAGAAAGCCACGGCUAACUACGUGCCAGCAGCCGCAGUAACAC